AGGGGAGGGGACAGCUCGGGAGCGCGCCCGCCGCGGCUCUUCUCGCCGGGCUGCCGAGCGGGCAGCAGCGGGAGCAGCAGGAGCGCGAGCAUCCCUUUGACCCUCUUCUCCACAGGCAGAGGGGCCGCACCUUCCCGCAAGGCAGUAAAAUAAAGAGCUGUCAUACAGGAGAUAAGAAAAGAAGGAAAAGUAAAGAGAGAGACCAACUUUUUCAGAAGUUAUUUGUACAAAGGAUCAAUAUUUCAAGAUGCGUGAAGGAGAAGGGUCUAACUGACAAGCUGCCUUGAUGCACUGUUAUUCUAACUAUGACUGGAUUGACUGAAAAUUGCCUCAAAGAGUUUCUUGUCUAUAUUUACAUAACUACUGCAAGCUAUCUAGUCUUAUGAAGUUGAACUUCAUUCUUCAAGUGUGAUUU
rnacentral:lncRNA from 14 species